AAUCAACGCUGGCGGCGUGCCUCAGACAUGCAGGUCGAACGAUUAAGACUUCCUUCGGGAAGUGUAUACAGUGGCGCACGGGUGAGUAACACGUAAGUAAUCUACCCUCGUGUGGGGAAUAACGUUCGGAAACGAACGCUAAUACCGCAUAAUGCAGCGGGAUCGCAAGAUGACAGUUGUUAGAGGAGUAAUUCGCUUGAGGAGGAGCUUGCGGCAGAUUAGCUAGUGGGUAAGGUAACGGCUUACCAAGGCUACGAUCUGUAUCCGGUCUAAGAGGACGGUCGGACACACUGACACUGAAUAACGGGUCAGACUCCUACGGGAGGCAGCAGUCGGGAAUUUUGGGCAAUGGGGGAAAGCCUGACCCAGCAACGCCGCGUGAAGGAUGAAGUAUUUCGGUAUGUAAACUUCGAAAGAAUGGGAAGAAUAAAUGACGGUACCAUUUAUAAGCUCCGGCUAACUACGUGCCAGCCGCCGCGGUAAUAC
rnacentral:rRNA from 1 species